AACGAACGCUGGCGGCAUGCCUAACACAUGCAAGUCGAACGAGACCUUCGGGUCUAGUGGCGCACGGGUGCGUAACGCGUGGGAACCUGCCCUUAGGUUCGGAAUAACUCCCCGAAAGGGGUGCUAAUACCGGAUAAUGUCUUCGGACCAAAGAUUUAUCGCCUUUGGAUGGGCCCGCGUUGGAUUAGCUAUUUGGUAGGGUAAAAGCCUACCAAGGCGACGAUCCAUAGCUUGUCUGAGAGGAUGAUCAGCCACACUGGGACUGAGACACGGCCCAGACUCCUACGGGAGGCAGCAGUGGGGAAUAUUGGACAAUGGGCGAAAGCCUGAUCCAGCAAUGCCGCGUGAGUGAUGAAGGCCUUAGGGUUGUAAAGCUCUUUUACCCGGGAUGAUAAUGACAGUACCGGGAGAAUAAGCUCCGGCUAACUCCGUG
rnacentral:rRNA from 1 species